AACGAACGCUGGCGGCAUGCCUAACACAUGCAGGUCGAACGAGACCUUCGGGUCUAGUGGCGCACGGGUGCGUAACGCGUGGGAACCUGCCUUUAGGUUCGGAAUAACUCAGAGAAAUUUGAGCUAAUACCGGAUGAUGUCUUCGGACCAAAGAUUUAUCGCCUUUAGAUGGGCCCGCGUAAGAUUAGCUAGUUGGUGGGGUAAAGCCUACCAAGGCGACGAUCUUUAGCUGGUCUGAGAGGAUGAUCAGCCACACUGGGACUGAGACACGGCCCAGACUCCUACGGGAGGCAGCAGUGGGGAAUAUUGGACAAUGGGCGAAAGGCCUGAUCCAGCAAUGCCGCGUGAGUGAUGAAGGCCUUA
rnacentral:rRNA from 1 species